UUAAUAAACUCUACCCCAUAAGAAACUUUAAAAAAUAAAUCAAAAAAGUAAACAAUAAUCUCUAAAGAUAUUCUUUUUUUUUUUUGCAUUUCUUAACAUUUUUCACCAUUCAAUAUGAUGUGAUUAUGAGCAAACAAGAUAAUCUUUGUUUUGUUGCAUGAAGUAAUAGAAGUAUAGUUUGGUGGAAAGGGACCAAAACGAAGUAUCUGGAAUUUUAUCAGAUAAAUCUUAUAUAAUAUACGCUAUAAGCAUAACAAUACAUGGGGAACGAAUAAUACGCAUACAUGGGAAAUAAAUUGCAAAAAGAAAAAAAAAACAACAACAAACAUGUUCAAAUGAAUUGAAUUGAAGAAAUAACGAUGGUGAACAGAACAUUCAUGCUAUGGAGCGAAAAGAAGCGUUAAGUAUUCCCUUUUUUACAUAAUAAAACUGAGUACUUGUGCAUAAAAUAUCUAGAGAUUUGUGGAUAUAAAUAUAAACUUACAAAGGAUAUGGAAACCCUUUCAAUAACGAAAUUGUGAAUAGAAAAAAAUAAGUAUGUAAUUUUUCAUUUCCACUUCAAUAAAUUCUGCAAUGUCAACAAUAUCGUCAAUAUGAGUAUGUACUCCAUGGCGGAUUCGAAAAGAUGAUGUGAAAUAUUUUUAAUUUGUUUUUGAUUACAGUAAAUAAUCAAGAAAUAAAUUGUCAUCAUUAAAAAGCAACACAUUGCUCUGACACUUGAUGCCUUGGCAACAAUAAAAACAACAAUUAUAAUGCAUAGUAAAUAUAGCCAAGUAAGUUUGUGCGGGAGGGGGGUUGUGGUACAAGAAUGUGUUAGUCUUAAAAGGCAUUUAAUAUAUAGAGUCUAUAUACAACAUUAACAUUAAAACAACAAU